rnacentral:rRNA from 1 species
AUGGCUACGCUCGGCGACACCUCCCGCGAGAAGCUCGGACGCGACAACUUCCUUCUGUGGAAGGGGACGGUCCUACCUCCGAUCAGAGGCGCGCAGCUCGACGGAUACCUCGAUGGCACAAUUGAAGCUCCGGUCAAGACACUUGAUGUCCAGAAGGCCGACAAGUCCGGCACCGAGACGGUGCCAAACCCCGAGUACGCUCGCUGGAUAGCCCAAGAUCAGCAAGUUCUUGGAUCGCUGCUGACCUCUCUCUCGCGCGAAGUUCUAACUCAAGUUGUCUCCAUGAAGACGUCCGCGCAGGUCUGGACAGCUCUUGAGGAGAUGUAUUCCUCUGCCUCUCGGUCACGAGUUAUUCAACUUCGUACCCUGUUCGCCGGCACUCGGAAGAACGAGAUGACCGCCACGCGUACUUUACAAAGAUGA